UCGCCUACCUUAAACACCCUGUCGAUCUCACGCUUGAUAAAUUAAUAAUACAUUUAAUAGAGCAUGAGCUAUUGUUUAAGUUUUACACAUAAUUUAAAAGUUUUAUUUGGAAUUUCGUGGCUUAAUGUACAACAUGUGAUAACUUUUUGAAAUGCAGUAACAAAAACUUGCUCGGUUGGAACCCAAAUACAUUUAGCUUAUUGACUUAAACAUACCCAUAUGCACAUACAUAUGUAUUAAACAGUAGGCACAUAUGUAUAUUCGUGUGGUGCUGAUAGUGUAAAUGUGUAAAAUGUCUGUGGAAUUGUAAAUAUGUUUUUGUUUGAACAAAUAUGUACAUAAAUGCACAAAAAUCGGUGCAUAUAUGUGCACAUGCCCAUCCAUAUCUGCAUAUUUCUGUACAUGCAUAUGUGCUCUAACUACAAUACAUACCACCAUUCGCAAACAGUUUGUCAAAAAAGUGUGUCUACAAGAUAAAACAAAAAGAGAAAAAAAAACAAAAAACAGUUGCCAAAUCAGUCGCUAUGUUAAGUAAUUCGAAAUUACUGUUCGGUGUUUCUAAUAAGGAUUUUGAUUGUUUAAAAACCGCCAGUUCAUGCAGUGAACCUAUUUAAUUGCUCGAAUUCCGUGCAUUGACUUCAAACCAGAAAACUUUAUUCGCAAGUUAAACCAUUCGGCAGUCAAACUGAAUGUAUUAUGCCAAGCGGAAAAUUGUUAUAUUGUUUAUCUUUGAUAAUAAGCCGAUACAUAACACAGUCUUUAAAAAUGGAGUAAAUAGAAGUCAAAACCUGGUUUCCAACUAAAAUUUGAAUGGAUGCAGCUAACCUAGUUUAAAAAAGACAAGUCUUUUAACUUUGGAAAAAUGGCCAACACCAUUUCGUUAAUGUCCAACGUGAUACGCAAUGUAGUAAGCAAAAAACGUAUACGAUACAAACAAAAAGGAUACAAUUUGGAUUUAACAUACAUUAAUGAUAACAUAAUUGCCAUGGGGUACCCAGCGGAUAAAAUAGAGGGCCUGUACAGAAACCGUCUAGAAGAUGUCUUCAAAUUUUUGGAAGAAAAUCAUCGCCAACAUUACAAAAUAUACAACUUAUGCUUAGAGCGUAAAUACGAUGCCGGCAAAUUUCACGGGAGAGUUGCCGUUUUCCCGUUUGAAGACCAUAACCCUCCAACGAUUGAGUUAAUACAAAGCUUUUGCAAGGACGUUGAUUCGUGGCUUAAGGAAGAUGCGUCCAAUGUUGUAGCCGUGCACUGUAAAGCUGGAAAAGGAAGAACUGGUACCAUGAUUUGUGCAUAUUUACUAUUCAGCGGCCUACAAAAAUCCGCUGAUGAGGCAUUAGCGUGGUAUGAUGAGAAACGUACAAAGGACUGUAAAGGUGUGACAAUCCCAUCACAGCGUCGAUAUGUUCAGUAUUUUUCCAAACUAGUUUGUUCAAGUGUUCCAUAUUCGAAAAUAAGCCUUAACGUAUGUGAAAUACGGUUCUCAGAGUCCAGUUUCCUGCAAAAUUUAGGCACGGUUCAAUGUUCAGUAUAUCUUUUACCAGACUCAUCCACAGAAAAUGCAAAGCCAUAUAGUGUGAAAACCUGGACGAUUGAUUUUCAGAAAUCAUUUGUAUUGACCAGUACACCACCUUUACCAGUUGCCGGUGAUGUAAAAUUUGAAAUUGCAAAAAUUUCCCCAAAAAAAGUAGUUUGUCAUUUUUGGCUGAAUACAUUUUUUGUGCGACACUAUUCAAUUUGCGAGACCGACGGAACGGUUAACAAAUAUAUACACACUUUAAACAAAUCAGAAAUCGAUGAUGUACAUAAAGACAGAGAACAUAAAUCGUUUUCGGAGGAUUUUAAGAUUUCAGUCGUAUUUGAGGCGGAAAAUUAUAGCAAUGAUGUUCAAGCUGAAACUUCUGAAAAAGAGAAAAAUGACAACGUUUUAAAUUUUGAAAGAUCAGAUUAUGUUAGUUUAUCUUCAAACUGCUUUCAUGAAAAAAAAAUCUUAACUGCGAUCGUCAAUGAUAAUACAGCGAAAAGUCAAACAAUAGAACCGUUGGAUCAUAAGGAUAUAGUUACUAAAAUUCAAUACGACACAUCAACCAAUUCAAAAAAUACUUCGACCGCGUCUAAACGCAAACAGCCUAAUAGUAAACCUCUUUUAUCAAGCUUGAAUGAUUCCACAAAAGAGGAAAUAAAAAAAAAUCAUAUAUUUAAUCAACCGUCCAUUAAAAAAAAUGAUUUAAUCAAAUGGCAGAAUAGUGAAGUUCAUAUCACCUCUGACACUCGAAGUUUAAGUGAGAAUAAGAACAUCAAUUACGAUUCAUACAUCACAUGUAAACAAUCCUCUCCAAAAUUCAACUGUGGUACCGAAGAAGGCGAGGAAGAUUGGGAAUCCGAAUAAUCACCCGAGACGAUUUAAAAGACUUCUGGCUGAACGAUCUCUUAUUUUUGAUGUAUAAAACGAAGCCACCAGAACUGGAUUUAUAUGUCCCCAAGACUUUUACGAGUAUACUAGCAGACAGGCUUGCAAAGAUCAACUUCCUUUAACAGGAAAGGCGAUCGAUACAGCUGGGCUCUGCACAUCUGUUUAGAAUUUAAUGUACAUAGGUGAAUCCACAUACCUGUAAUCAAUGCUUACUACGGACUUAUAAUUCUUGGUGAUUUAGCAAAGUAAUUAAAAUUGCUAAGUAAUUGGCUAAUCUAUUCGAAUUUGUAAAUAUACUGUAUGAUAUUUAUUUAAGUAGUUUUAACAAAUAUUUUAAAUAAACUCAUGUACAUUUUGUAUUGUAGAUUUCAUUCGAA